GUUGAACAGUACUUCAGUUAUAUUUUUUUUACUGUAGUAUAUAUAAAUUACUGCAAUAUUGGAAAUUGAACAAACAUGACUAACUUAUGUCUAUGGGCGCUGAUAACACAAUAACGACAGAAGACCCGUUACAUCCAAACUUAAAUUAUUAAAUAAUGAACGGCCGUCACAAAAAGUGACUUUUUAUUUAGUCAGUAGUUCAUGAUGGUUUUUUUUAAACAGAACUAUUUAACGGCAUCA
rnacentral:lncRNA from 1 species